UGAUCUUAUGCUUGUGACACAUUGAGGACACUGCGUAGUUUAAGUGUGGUCUAUUGGGGGAGAUUCUGAAUUUUCUUUGUUAGUUUUCGUUUUCUGUGUUAAAUUUUUUGUUUUCUAGGUAGUUUUUGUUUUGUCUUGUGUACAGUUUUGCAUGUUUAUCUUGAUUUCUAGACUUUGUUUAGGUUGUCAGUUUUUCCUUCACUUCAUUGAUACUCUUAUUAGUUUGAAAUCCUUGCUUUUUUUUGGUGGGAAGAUGAUUAUGAUGUUUGAGAGGGUGACUGAUUGUGACAUAAAUACCCUGCGUGAGAAUUGAGCCACUUCAUAUUCUUUCUUGUGUGUGAUAUAUCUCUUGAUUGCUUGCAUAUAUGCCUUGGCUUGACUCUUUUUGAUGAUUCUUGAUUGAUAUGCAUGUUGGAAAGUGAUAAAGGCAGCUUUGUUGUUAAGCUCUCUAGCCAAAUGAGCCUACCCUGUUUUGAUCCUUUGAUAGCCCCUUUGAGCCUAUGCUUUCCCCAUUUCUUUGUUUUGAAGCUGAUACACUAGCCCUAAGUGAAAAACCAUGAUUACCUGAACCUUAGGGAAUUUUGGAGCUUUGGAAGUGUUUUGGGAAAAAGUGUGGUCUCCUUGGGGAUUCAGAUGAAUUGGCUAGUUGGUUCCUCUUCUUGUUUUUGUUUUUGUAAAUAUGUUGUGUAUCUUGUCUCUUACAGUUGUGUUCUACACAGAGAAAAAAAGAAAAAAAAGACAAGAUGAGAAAAGAAAAAAAAAUAGAGAAAAAUGAUUUUUUUUUUUGUGAAUAAUGGAGUCAAGAAGAGGAUUGAAGUAGAGGUUUUGGGUGUGAUUUGACUGUGUUUUCACUUGUUCCCCAUUGCUCUUCUAUUUCUUUUGGUUUGUAGCUUCUCAUCCAUAUUUUAUCCUCCCUUAACCUUGACCCCAUUACAUCCAUAAAAGACCUUUUGAUUUGAACAUGCAUAUAUGUUGUGAUUGUUGAUAUUAAAGACUUUCCAAGUCUGUUUGUGUUUGCUUUCUUGAGUGCAUUGAUGAUGGAAUCUGUUUUGGGAACUAAAUGGAGAUCUAUGAAGGGAGAAUCACUUAAGCUAAGGCUCGCAGAUUGGAAGAAGAAGAAGAAGGACUCUCAAUCUUAUUCUUGCUUUCCCUUAAGCCUUAGAAGACAUUUGACCUCUCAUUAAGAGCCAUGGUAAAAGAAGAUGGAAGAAGAAGAUGGAGCUUGAAGGAUUUUACUCUUGUGGAGAAUCACUUACUAGUCUUCUUAUUUUAUCUUUGUAAAUAUGUAAAAAGUUUCUUUUAUCUUUGUUUUAGAAGCUUAUUAGCUUUUAGAGUAAAGUAGUGCACCAUAAACCUUGAUGUAGGUGAAUAUGUGCUUAAAAUGGGUGAUAGGAAGCCUUUGGAACAUGUAAACAUCAAGGGAGGCUCUUAAACAUUGAACUUGGAUGGUAGUUAGGAGGGAAGGCUCUCAUUCCUCCCCCCUUGCCAUAGGAAGCUUCUAGUUCCUUUGUAGUGCAUUAAAUGCAAGCCUACUCCUUCACCUAUAAAAGGAGAGGCAACCUUACUUCAUUGUCUAUUUUUCAUCAAAUUUGUAUUGUUGUGUUAAUUUACUGUAAUAUGAGCAAAUGCCUUCCCUCUAUUGCCUAUUUCUUUCUUCGUGCGAUUGGGUAAAGCUUGACAAAAUGAUAUGAGGAUCUAUGGGUGCUGCAGGAAGGAAUUUUGAAUGUGCAAAAAAGCAGUCAGCGCUGAAAGAAGAGCUGAUGCAGCUGCAAUAGAUGGUUGAGCAGGAGAAAGCCAGUGUAACCUUGGUGAAAAUGCAUACUUGGGCAGGAGUAAAUCAGAUCAGUCAUUUUUUUUGCCUUUCUCUUAAAUAGUAGUUAUAGGUUCUUUAUGAUAGUUAAUGUAUUGUUAUUAGUAUUAUUAUUAUUACUACAAUCAUCAUCAUCAUCAUCAUCAUCAUC
rnacentral:lncRNA from 1 species